GCUGCAGAGGAGACGCGAUGGGAGAAACAAAUGAGCAGUGAAAAUGAACGGCCUCAGUUCCUGACCUCCGGAGCCGGUGACAGUCACUUCCCUUUAAAUCAUGAGAUGAGCACAUUUAACCUGCAGCCUUGCUCCCUUUUCCUGCACGUCAGCGUCAGUGAAGGUCUGAGAUGAGGUCAGUCAGCUGUUUGCGGAACACGGAAAAGAGAAGAAGUUUCGGUGACUCAUUAAAAUUCCCCAUGGUUGUGUAAAAAUUCUUGUGCCAGCACUUUAAUUAGUAUCAUGUCAGAAGAUAUAACCUCAAUCGGUGCAAUUUAAAGAUUUGUGCAGUUUCACCCAAAUCCUUUUACUUAGAACUUUUGUGUUAACGCACAAAAUAUCAAUACAUGGUCUUCUGUUUUUUAUGUCAUGCAUGCCUUAUUUAGCCUAGUUGUUGUGUGAGGAAACAUGAUUGAUUGAUUGAUUGAUUGCUGCAGCUCCUGUCCCAAGAAAACAAGACAGGAUUUCACAUCCGAACAAAAACAACUCUUAAGAAACUUAACACACUGUAAAUGGAGGUGUGCUCACCCUCCACCUCGGGCAUUGUGUGUAACAGUACACAUCACUGUGCUGUUAGCAUCUGUAAUAUUUCUGUAUAUUUCCGAGUGGUCACGAAACAACAUUUCACUUGAACCCACAAAUCGUGUCAUUAAAGAAAAAAACUGCCAUGGUUGCAUCGACAUAUAAUCUCUACCUAUGUAUAAAAGUUUUUUUAAAUACAUGAUUGUAUUUGCUGUGUAAGAUUAGUCCAUCUCUGUAUUCUGAUGCCUGUAGAUCAGUUUGUUGGUUUCCUUUUUUUCAGGGGGGGGGGGGUUCGCACCACACCACAUCCUGCAGCAUGAGUUUAUCGAUUCUGAACUUGUGUGUAUUACAGCCAUACGGAAAGCCGCCCACUUUGACGCCCUGACAACAAUCGUUGCUGACUGAACUGUAAGCCGGAUGGACAGACUCGUUUUAAUCAGCACCGUCUGUAUCACACUUGACAAGGCCUUUAUUAAUGAAAUGUUGCCAAGUGGACUGAACACUGGCUUUUUAAGCGGGACGUCUGUAACUAUGGACAGCUGAACGUUUGAUUUCUAAUGUUCAGACCCUACUUUUGUACCAUUCUGACACAUGAUAAUAAAAUAAACACUUAACACUGAAUCCUGUUGCGACGUGUGUUCAUUCCUCAUCUGUCUUAGACCCCUCUCUCUGCUGACACUUUGACAUUUUACUGG
rnacentral:lncRNA from 1 species